CCCCGGGGAGAUGAAGUGACAUUUUUUACAUUAGCGGACAGGUAGGGAGGAAGCGGGAUCGCCUUCCACGGGCGCGGAGCUUUUCGGCGCGAGCUACUCGGGCGUGCCCCGGGUGGCGGGAGCCAGACUUGGAAAUACGAUUUUAACGUUCAGACCUCGAGUGGACUGGAUAACGAGAAAGCCUCGGCCCGUACGGCCGUUUGCCCCCGGCGUGGAAUUCCUGCGCGUCGGAGGGUCCGCGCAGGUGCGUCCGACCCGACGGAUUCCUAUCUAGCCCGGCGCACGUGAGCCGUACGUCACCCCCCGAUUCCGUGCCUCUGCCGUUGUCUCGACGAGACGUUCUCUUCCCCUCGACUCCACGUACUGCCAUCGUUGGUGUCUGCCCGUCUCCCCCCGAUCAGACGGUGAGCCCGUCGGAGGGCAGGGACCGUCUCUGCCUGUCGCCGGCCUGUACGUUCCGAUGGCUCAGUACGGUGCUCGGCCCACAGUGAGCGCGCGACGAACGCGGUUGAAUCGGUGAACGGAUGAAUUCGUAUCAGCGCCCGUCUCCC